rnacentral:tRNA from 1 species
GGACGUGUAACUCAAUUGGUCAGAGUGCUUCCCUUACAAGGAAGAAGUUGGGGGUUCGAGUCCCUCCACGUCCA